rnacentral:rRNA from 1 species
UCGGGAAUAUUGCGCAAUGGAGGAAACUCUGACGCAGUGACGCCGCGUGCAGGAAGAAGGUUUUCGGAUUGUAAACUGCUUUAGACAGGGAAGAAGAAAGACAGUACCUGUAGAAUAAGCUCCGGCUAACUACGUGCC